rnacentral:rRNA from 1 species
GGGGGGUGCUAUACAUGCAGUCGAGCGAACGGAUAAGGAGCUUGCUCCUUUGAAGUUAGCGGCGGACGGGUGAGUAACACGUGGGUAACCUACCUAUAAGACUGGAAUAACUUCGGGAAACCGGAGCUAAUGCCGGAUAACAUUUGGAACCGCAUGGUUCUAAAGUAAAAGAUGGUUUUGCUAUCACUUAUAGAUGGACCCGCGCCGUAUUAGCUAGUUGGUAAGGUAACGGCUUACCAAGGCAACGAUACGUAGCCGACCUGAGAGGGUGAUCGGCCACACUGGAACUGAGACACGGUCCAGACUCCUACGGGAGGCAGCAGUAGGGAAUCUUCCGCAAUGGACGAAAGUCUGACGGAGCAACGCCGCGUGAGUGAUGAAGGUUUUCGGAUCGUAAAACUCUGUUAUUAGGGAAGAACAAAUGUGUAAGUAACUGUGCACAUCUUGACGGUACCUAAUCAGAAAGCCACGGCUAACUACGUGCCAGCAGCCGCGGUAAUACGUAGGUGGCAAGCGUUAUCCGGAAUUAUUGGGCGUAAAGCGCGCGUAGGCGGUUUCUUAAGUCUGAUGUGAAAGCCCACGGCUCAACCGUGGAGGGUCAUUGGAAACUGGGAAACUUGAGUACAGAAGAGGAAAGUGGAAUUCCAUGUGUAGCGGUGAAAUGCGCAGAGAUAUGGAGGAACACCAGUGGCGAAGGCGACUUUCUGGUCUGUAACUGACGCUGAUGUGCGAAAGCGUGGGGAUCAAACAGGAUUAGAUACCCUGGUAGUCCACGCCGUAAACGAUGAGUGCUAAGUGUU